rnacentral:lncRNA from 1 species
GUGGUGGUCCUAACAAUGGUAGAGUUAAGGGCUUGGAGUUAUACGUUCUUCAUGUAGUCCAUUACCAUUAUUGUCUAGUGCUUCUACUUCACAAAAUACAAAAGAAAUUGAAGAGAUACAAAAGGAAAUUGCAGAGCAAAAGAUAAGGUGUAAAACUUCUGAUGAUAGGGUUGCUAAAUUUGAGAAGCUUAUAAUGAAGUACAUGCCUCAAA